AAAUGAGAAGAUGAAUGCAGCGGUGCGUGUGCUCUGGUCUGUUCUCGUCUCACACCUACAAUGUAAUCCAGAGGAAGAGGAUGGGGUAGCUCAUGACACACAGCAUUAUUCCAUUUCAGAAGAGAGCAGGCUGCCAUCCUGCUCCCCAUUUUCCUAGCACUGGCCUGGCAUCCAGUGAUGGUGGUGUCAGUCAAAAUUUUCUUACCAGCAACAUCAGGGCCAUCAAUGUGCUGAAGACAGUGGGAUGGAAAAAAAAAGGGAGAAUUUGGGCUAAAAACCUUCCUGGCAAAAAGAACUCCUAUUUAAACCAACUGGAUGUUUUGAGAAAUCUGGUCACAAUUAAGCUUAUUUUUUGCUCACAAAAUUGAAGGAUUCUCAUCCUGGCAGAACAAGUAAGGGUCUAACCUCAGGAUCCCCUGCCCCUAAUAAUGACAUAAGGAGUAUUUCCUUUGCUAUAGGCUAUUUAGUUUCUUGGUCUCUGGUCUGAAACAGUAAAAAAUAAAUAAAUUAGAACUUGACCGGUACAAAUACAAAG